GAUGAACGCUGGCGGCGUGCUUAACACAUGCAAGUCGAACGGGAAUUAUUUUAUUGAAACUUCGGUCGAUUUAAUUUAAUUCUAGUGGCGGACGGGUGAGUAACGCGUGGGUAACCUGCCUUAUACAGGGGGAUAACAGUCAGAAAUGGCUGCUAAUACCGCAUAAGCGCACAGAGCUGCAUGGCUCAGUGUGAAAAACUCCGGUGGUAUAAGAUGGACCCGCGUUGGAUUAGCUGGUUGGUGGGGUAACGGCCCACCAAGGCGACGAUCCAUAGCCGGCCUGAGAGGGUGAACGGCCACAUUGGGACUGAGACACGGCCCAGACUCCUACGGGAGGCAGCAGUGGGGAAUAUUGCACAAUGGGGAAAACCCUGAUGCAGCGACGCCGCGUGAAGGAAGAAGUAUCUCGGUAUGUAAACUUCUAUCAGCAGGGAAGAUAGUGACGGUACCUGACUAAGAAGCCCCGGCUAACUACGUG
rnacentral:rRNA from 1 species